UGAAAUAAGGCAAACCGUUCAUGCACAAUCAAUGCAUACCAUGCACAAAAAUGAAAUGACGAAAAUACCUAAAUAUAAAUUGUAAAAACUCACAUGUGAUGACGUCCUUUUUUUUUAUAUAUAUUUUGAAGAGAGAACUGUGAACUCUGAUUUUUGAGUUGGCUCAUAUCUGUUAGCAUAUCGUGUGCAUGUCGUGUGGAUGUCACUAGAAAGAGAUGAUUUUUAAUGAGAUUUCCAUAAUCUAGGUUCAGGUCAAAGAUUUGUAAACUACAGAUCUUUAAGAGAUUUUCAGAAUCUAGGCCCCCACAUAUCCAACAGCGUCGUUAAUUGCACGAUGCACAUCCACAACAACACCGACGUCAUUGCACGUAUCAUCCGUAGCUUCAUUUUUAACCUUUCCCAAACAUAUUUUCUCAAAAUAGAGGCAAAAUAUACUCACCAAAUUUGCUCCAAAACUCACCAAAAUAAUUGAAGACUCUCCAAAAUACUCACCAGCAACAGGUUCAUUUUGAAUAUCUGGGUCCAACUGCCGCUUCACUUUCUAGGGAAUAUGCUUCCUCUUUUCCAAUUGCCAGGUGAGAAAUGUGCAGAAAAAAAAUUGAAGGGGGAAAAAGAUUGAAACUUUACUGAAAAGCCCCAGCUUGGAGAGUCCCAUCCAGAUCUUUGAAGCAUUGAUGGCUGAAAAACUGGAUGGGAAUGUGAAAAGCAUUUGAAAAAUGCAAAUGGGUUCAUCUUCUCAUUCUUAAAAAAUGGUUGUUUUUUUUUACCAGAGAACAAAAAUGGCUACUUUCUAACCCCAAAAAAUGGUUGUUCUUCUUGUCUCUAGUAUAGGUGUGGCGGUGCAAAUGACCUCUGGCUACUUUCUAACCCAAAAAAAUGGCUACUUUCUAACCCCAAAAAAAUAGGACAUAAAUAGGAUUUUUAGUCCCAAACAUGGUUUUUCUUUAUGUCCUAUUGUUGUGCAUAGCGUGUGUAUAUUCUGUGCAUCUUUGGUUUGUCCUAUUUUAGUCCUAAGAUUAAGAAAAUAGGUCAUUUUUGACAAUUUCCUUGUAUAUAUAUUUGUCAAUGUUCUAAAAAUUGCUAGGUGGUAAUCGAGUGGCUGGGAGAGGCUUAGUGUAUGGGC
rnacentral:lncRNA from 1 species